rnacentral:rRNA from 1 species
UACGAAGGGUGCAAGCGUUACUCGGAAUUACUGGGCGUAAAGCGUGCGUAGGUGGUGAGUUAAGUCUGAUGUGAAAUCCCCGGGCUCAACCUGGGAAUGGCAUUGGAUACUGGCUCGCUAGAGUGCGGUAGAGGGUGGUGGAAUUCCCGGUGUAGCAGUGAAAUGCGUAGAGAUCGGGAGGAACAUCUGUGGCGAAGGCGGUCUGCUGGGCCAAGACUGACGCUGAGGCGCGACAGCGUGGGGAGCAAACAGG